rnacentral:rRNA from 2 species
UUGACCUCGGAUCAGGUAGGGAUACCCGCUGAACUUAAGCAUAUCAAUAAGCGGAGGAAAAGAAACCAACCGGGAUUGCCUCAGUAACGGCGAGUGAAGCGGCAAGAGCUCAAAUUUGAAAGCUGGCUCCUUCGGAGUCCGCAUUGUAAUUUGCAGAGGAUGCUUUGGGUGCGGCCCCCGUCUAAGUGCCCUGGAACGGGCCGUCAGAGAGGGUGAGAAUCCCGUCUUGGGCGGGGUGUCCGUGCCCGUGUAAAGCUCCUUCGACGAGUCGAGUUGUUUGGGAAUGCAGCUCUAAAUGGGUGGUAAAUUUCAUCUAAAGCUAAAUACUGGCCGGAGACCGAUAGCGCACAAGUAGAGUGAUCGAAAGAUGAAAAGCACUUUGAAAAGAGAGUUAAACAGCACGUGAAAUUGUUGAAAGGGAAGCGCUUGCGACCAGACUCGCCCGCGGGGUUCAGCCGGCAUUCGUGCCGGUGUACUUCCCCGUGGGCGGGCCAGCGUCGGUUUGGGCGGCCGGUCAAAGGCCCCUGGAAUGUAGUGCCCUCCGGGGCACCUUAUAGCCAGGGGUGCAAUGCGGCCAGCCUGGACCGAGGAACGCGCUUCGGCACGGACGCUGGCAUAAUGGUCGUAAACGA